rnacentral:rRNA from 1 species
UAGGGAAUCUUCCGCAAUGGGCGAAAGCCUGACGGAGCAACGCCUCGUGAGUGAUUAAGGUCUUCGGAUCGUAAAACUCUGUUAUUAGGGAAGAACAAAUGUGUAAGUAACUAUGCACGCCUUGACGGUACCUAAUCAGAAAGCCACGGCUAACUACGUGCCCGCAGCCGCGGUAAUACGUAGGUUGCAAGCGUUAUCCGGAAUUAUUGGGCGUAAAGCGCGCGUAGGCGGUUUUUUAAGUCUUAUGUGAAAGCCCACGGCUAAACCGUGGAGGGUCAUUGGAAACUGGAAAACUUGAGUGCAGAAGAGGAAAGUGGAAUUCCAGGUGUAGCGGUGAAAUGCGCAGAGAUAUGGAGGAACACCAGUGGCGAAGGCGACUUUCUGGUCUGUAACUGACGCUGAUGUGCGAAAGCGUGGGGAUCAAACAGG